GAGAGGGUGACCGGCCACAUUGGGACUGAGACACGGCCCAAACUCUUACGGGAGGCAGCAGUGGGGAAUAUUGCACAAUGGGGGAAACCCUGAUGCAGCGACGCCGCGUGAGCGAAGAAGUAUUUCGGUAUGUAAAGCUCUAUCAGCAGGGAAGAAAAUGACGGUACCUGACUAAGAAGCACCGGCUAAAUACGUGCCAGCAG
rnacentral:rRNA from 1 species